rnacentral:lncRNA from 1 species
CUUUCUUCUAGGGCUGGAUGGGGCAGCAUCUCAAUCAUAUAGGGCACAGGACAAACCUCAGUAUCGCCAGCAAGAAUCCAUUACAGUUCAACAUGUAGUACCUCCAGACCUUUUCCCUGUGCCCCUGGACACCAAGGUCCAUCCCACCCUCAGCUGUCCAUCUUCUAGAGCAGGCGGUCUAGCCUCCCCAAACCAGAAGAACUUCCUUUUUAUAUUCAACCACCUGAUGGAUGUCCC